AGAGUUUGAUCCUGGCUCAGAACGAACGCUGGCGGCAUGCCUAACACAUGCAAGUCGAACGAACCCUUCGGGGUUAGUGGCGCACGGGUGCGUAACGCGUGGGAAUCUGCCCUUAGGUACGGAAUAACAGUGAGAAAUUACUGCUAAUACCGUAUGAUGUCUUCGGACCAAAGAUUUAUCGCCUAGGGAUGAGCCCGCGUAGGAUUAGCUAGUUGGUGAGGUAAAGGCUCACCAAGGCUACGAUCCUUAGCUGGUCUGAGAGGAUGAUCAGCCACACUGGGACUGAGACACGGCCCAGACUCCUACGGGAGGCAGCAGUGGGGAAUAUUGGACAAUGGGCGAAAGCCUGAUCCAGCAAUGCCGCGUGAGUGAAGAAGGCCUUCGGGUUGUAAAGCUCUUUUACCCGGGAAGAUAAUGACCGUACCGGGAGAAUAAGCCCCGGCUAACUCCGUGCCAGCAGCCGCGGUAAUACGGAGGGGGCUAGCGUUGUUCGGAAUCACUGGGCGUAAAGCGUGCGUAGGCGGUCAUUCAAGUCAGAGGUGAAAGCCCAGGG
rnacentral:rRNA from 1 species